CUUCCAUCGUGUUUGAUAAAACGGUGCAUUUAGUAACUGGUGUUGAAAUGCUACGUGUAGUAGAAAAUAAAAGACCAACUGAGAGAGACCUGCCCCCAUCCAUCUUCUGCUUCUCGCAUGAACCGUAAGCCCCCUCCUUUGACGCCGAACCCUAACUCUCACCCACGACAGUCGCAACAGUCCUUCUUGGUCCUGGAUUCAUGGUCAACGGCUUCUACUAGCAGACAGCACCCAGUGCCGCCAUCUUAUUUAUUGCAGGUUAUCCGUGUAGUUGGUGGUAUGAAACACGUCCUUAAUAGUGGCGCCAUCUGUGGGAUCUCUACAAACUUCAAUGUGACUUUCACAUGCCAACUACCACGUGAUCUCAUGCAACCAGUGACCAAGAGAUGAAUACCACGGGCAUAGAAGCAAGGUUGGCAGAAGCUGAAGAAAAGUCGACGACAUUGGUUGAGCAGCUACAGAAGGAGAACGAAGAGCUGAAGCAGUAGAAUACUACUACACCACCUGUCCACAACGGAUAGAUAGAAGGAGAUGCACAUAGCACAGGAGGUAUGAACGUCUAGGAGUUAGAAAAGAAGACGUUACACGAUGAGCUGCGCAACCUCGUAGAUAAAUACGAGGAGAUGGCAAGGAAAAUGGGAGGAUCUUCCUUCGUAGAGCAGUUUCUGAAUUGAACUAAUCUUCCCUAUAGCAAGGAAGUGAUGGCGGUACCACACCCACCUAAAUUGAAAGUUCUCCAGAUUGGCAUGUAUGACAGAUCCCAGGACUCUGUAGAUCAUUUGAAAAAUUUGAAAGCACACAUGACUCUCCAUGGCUUCUCGGGAGAGGUGGUUGCCGCGCCUUCCUGUUAACAUUAAAAAGAUAGCACGUGGUUGGUUUGAAACUUUAUGACCAGGAUCUAUUAACCACUUUAAAGAAUUGUCCAAGCAAUUUUUUACACAAUUCAUGGCAACUAAGACGUCGAUGGCCUGUCGCUUAUCUUCUCACCAUUAAGCAAAGGGAAGAGGAAAGUCUGAAAGUGUAUUUGACCCGAUUCAACAAGGAGAAACUGAUCACGGAUGAUCAGGAUGAGAAGAUCACUCUAGCCACUCUUUUGGUAGGUAUAUGGCCCUAAAGUCCAUUCAUGAUCGAGUUAGCCAGAAAAACCCCCUCGACUCUGAGGGAGUUCAUGGAUAGGGCAUAUGAUUAUGUUAACACACUAUAAAAAAAAUCCCAAUUUACCGAUGUUUAUAUUACCUAUGCGCCGAUAAAUAUAUGUUAUUGCUGGCACGUUCUUUUUUCACUGAUAAAUAAGAAGUUUUGCUGGCACUUACAUUGUUAUGCUGGCAAAAAUAUAUAAUAAUUAUGGCGUUUAUAAAAUUGUCUCUAAUUUAUAAAUUUUGCGCUACUAAAUAAUAAGUUUUGGCAGCAUUUACAUUUCUGGCA